CCACCUAAUAAUUAAGUAAUAUAGAUAAAAUAAAAUAAGCCUAAAACCAAAAACUAAACCAUUCUUUUACCUGAGUACGGGAGACAGAAAAGGUCCUACCAAAGCAAUAGAAAUAGUACCGCAAGGGAAAGCUGAAAGAGAAAUGAAAUAAUCCAUAUAAGCACUAAGAAGCAAAGAUUAAAUCUUGUACCUUUUGCAUCAUGAUUUAGCCAGUACACCCAAGCAAAGAGACCUUUAGUUUGAAACCCCGAAACCAGGUGAGCUACCCCGAGACAGCCUAUCAAGGGCCAACCCGUCUCUGUGGCAAAAGAGUGGGAAGAACUCCGGGUAGAAGUGACAGACCUACCGAACCUGGUGAUAGCUGGUUGCCUAAGAAGUGAAUAGAAGUUCAGCCUCGUCCUCCCCAAAUCAGAAAUAAAUAAGACCAAGAGAAAUGCACGAGAGUUAGUUAAAGGGGGUACAGCCCCUUUAACAAAGGACACAACCUUUACAGGAGGAUAAAGAUCAUAAUAUAUAAAAUAUACUGUUCUAGUGGGCCUAAAAGCAGCCACCUAAACAGAAAGCGUUAAAGCUCAGACAGAAAGAAGUUUAUUAUUCUGACAAAAAAUCUUACUCCCCUAAAUACUAUUGGGCCAACCCAUGCCUACAUGGAAGAGACUAUGCUAAAAUGAGUAACAAGAAGGCUUGCCCUUCUCCCGGCACAAGUGUAAGCCAAAUCGGACCCACCACUGGCAAUUAACGAACUCAACCCAAGAGAGUAAUGUGGACUACAAAAUAGACCAAGAAGAACCCACAACUAAAUUAUCGUUACCCCCACACUGGAGUGCCAUUUAAAGGAAAGACUAAAAGAAAAGGAAGGAACUCGGCAAACACAAGCCUCGCCUGUUUACCAAAAACAUCGCCUCCUGCAACCCAACUAAGUAUAGGAGGUCCAGCCUGCCCGGUGACCACAAGUUCAACGGCCGCGGUAUUUUGACCGUGCAAAGGUAGCGCAAUCACUUGUCUUUUAAAUAGAGACCUGUAUGAACGGCUAAACGAGGGCUUAACUGUCUUCCCUUUCAAGUCAGUGAAAUUGAUCUGCCCGUGCAGAAGCG
rnacentral:rRNA from 1 species